rnacentral:piRNA from 1 species
CCCAUAGCUAAAGGCAAGAGGAUGG